UCCCCAGCAUCACCUGGGAUACAAAGUGUUC
rnacentral:piRNA from 1 species